GUGGUUUUUUAGGCAGCAUAUAGACAAAAAUUGGAAUGAUACAGUGAAGAUUAGCAUGGCCCCUAAGUAAGCAUGAUGUAAAUUCAUGAAUUAGUCCAUAUUUAA
rnacentral:snRNA from 1 species